rnacentral:hammerhead_ribozyme from 1 species
GCAUUAUUGACGAGUCCCAAACAGAACGAAACAGCUGUCUAUGGC